UUGAUAAGGACGGGGUUAAA
rnacentral:tRNA from 1 species